rfam:Gossypium hirsutum cultivar TM-1 chromosome 22, whole genome shotgun sequence
CAUGUAAGCACGAGAUGCUUACGUGGAAGGAAAUCACUCCCUCAAGGACGCGAUUUCCUUCCACGUAAGCAUCUCGCGCUUACGUGG